UUUAAAAAAGGAAACCAUAUUCAUAAAUAAUAUUUAAUUAUUGUGAAAUUUAUCUGCGCAAUUAAAUCUUAACUCGGCAACUGUUUCUGAGCAAUUAAGCUUGUUGUUUUAGAUAAAGUGGUCUUCAUUUGUGAACGAAUCGCACGCAAGGGGUUUAAAAGGUCAAUGUUGGACUUGCUAUUACAAAGCGUAGUCAGGCAUGGGCAGGAGAAAUAUUGCACCUACAUAUUCAUAUUGUGGCUGUUUUAUAUAUUUGGAGAUCUGUACGUGCGAACAUUGUAGCUGAAUUGGUAAUAACGAGCCGAAAAUAGAAGGGUUCGCGCUCGGCUCAGAGCAAAAACUAAAAUCUUAAAAAACCCCGUUCGGAUUUUGCCUAAAUUAACCUGCAGGUCCUUCCAUUUUAUACGAAAACCUCAACGCACGCGACACAAAAAUUGCUUACAAAGCGCCAAUUAUAUAUAAUAUUGUAUAUCAGCCGGGUUUGUGAUGUUGACCAGAGCCUUGCUUUCCUUACUUGCUGAAUUUGCUUAUAAUUUAAAAAAUCCUUUGCCGCCUCAUACAUGUACAUAUUCCUUUUUAAAUCUUGCGAGAUUCAGUAACCUCUUUAAAGUAUGUAACUAUGGGUAAUUCAGCAGUGAAUGCAUUUCUGGGAUUUGAUUCCGGUGUGCUACUAGUGGUGAUUGGAGUUGUUGGCGGUAAAGGCAAG